rnacentral:rRNA from 1 species
GGGAUAACAGUUGGAAACGGCUGCUAAUACCGCAUAAGCGCACGGCAUCGCAUGAUGCAGUGUGAAAAACUCCGGUGGUAUAAGAUGGACCCGCGUUGGAUUAGCUAGUUGGUGAGGUAACGGCCCACCAAGGCGACGAUCCAUAGCCGACCUGAGAGGGUGACCGGCCACAUUGGGACUGAGACACGGCCCAAACUCCUACGGGAGGCAGCAGUGGGGAAUAUUGCACAAUGGGCGAAAGCCUGAUGCAGCGACGCCGCGUGAGCGAAGAAGUAUUUCGGUAUGUAAAGCUCUAUCAGCAGGGAAGAUAAUGACGGUACCUGACUAAGAAGCACCGGCUAAAUACGUGCCAGCAGCCGCGGUAAUACGUAUGGUGCAAGCGUUAUCCGGAUUUACUGGGUGUAAAGGGAGCGCAGGCGGUGCGGCAAGUCUGAUGUGAAAGCCCGGGGCUCAACCCCGGUACUGCAUUGGAAACUGUCGUACUAGAGUGUCGGAGGGGUAAGCGGAAUUCCUAGUGUAGCGGUGAAAUGCGUAGAUAUUAGGAGGAACACCAGUGGCGAAGGCGGCUUACUGGACGAUAACUGACGCUGAGGCUCGAAAGCGUGGGGAGCAAACAGGAUUAGAUACCCUGGUAGUCCACGCCGUAAACGAUGAAAACGAGGUGUUGGGAAGCAUUGCUUCUCGGUGCCGUCG